GUGAAUCAUCGAAUCUUUGAACGCAAAUUGCACUCCCUGGCAUUCCGGAGAGUAUGCCUGUUUGAGGGUCAGCUUAUAUAAAAAUCGGUGUGGUUGCUGCCUUUCGUGGUGACGCACCGGAUUUGGGUCGUCUUGCCUUCGGUUAGGUGUCCUAAACUUUUGCAUGAUUUUUUUCUUACGUAUUUAAAUGAUUUUACUUACGUUUUCGAUAUCGAAUACUAGGUGUGGUCAUCCUCAUGAUUCAUGACUUUAA
rnacentral:misc_RNA from 1 species